rnacentral:rRNA from 1 species
UGAGGAAUAUUGCGCAAUGGGGGCAACCCUGACGCAGCAACGCCGCGUGAGUGAGGAAGGUUUUCGGAUCGUAAAGCUCUGUCGGGUGGGAAGAAAUGUAUGGAGGUUAACAGCCUUUGUACUGACGUACCGCCAA